rnacentral:rRNA from 1 species
GAGUUUGAUCAUGGCUCAGAUUGAACGCUGGCGGCAUGCCUUACACAUGCAAGUCGAACGGCAGCAUGAUCUAGCUUGCUAGAUUGAUGGCGAGUGGCGAACGGGUGAGUAAUACAUCGGAACGUGCCCUGUAGUGGGGGAUAACUAGUCGAAAGAUUAGCUAAUACCGCAUACGACCUGAGGGUGAAAGUGGGGGACCGCAAGGCCUCAUGCUAUAGGAGCGGCCGAUGUCUGAUUAGCUAGUUGGUGGGGUAAAGGCCCACCAAGGCGACGAUCAGUAGCUGGUCUGAGAGGACGAUCAGCCACACUGGGACUGAGACACGGCCCAGACUCCUACGGGAGGCAGCAGUGGGGAAUUUUGGACAAUGGGCGAAAGCCUGAUCCAGCAAUGCCGCGUGUGUG